GUGUUUUAUGAAAGGUUAGCACUCCCCCUAUAAGGAUGGAAGAGGCCCUUGUGGCCUAUACAACAUGCGUAGGGUUAAGGCACUGCCACCUACCUCAUGACAUCUAUGUUUAACCCGAGGUUUAG